GACGAACGCUGGCGGCGUGCUUAACACAUGCAAGUCGAACGGAAAGGCCCUGCUUUUGUGGGGUGCUCGAGUGGCGAACGGGUGAGUAACACGUGAGUAACCUGCCCUUGACUUUGGGAUUACUUCAGGAAACUGGGGCUAAUACCGGAUAGGAGCUCCUGCUGCAUGGUGGGGGUUGGAAAGUUUCGGCGGUUGGGGAUGGACUCGCGGCUUAUCAGCUUGUUGGUGGGGUAGUGGCUUACCAAGGCUUUGACGGGUAGCCGGCCUGAGAGGGUGACCGGCCACAUUGGGACUGAGAUACGGCCCAGACUCCUACGGGAGGCAGCAGUGGGGAAUAUUGCACAAUGGGCGGAAGCCUGAUGCAGCAACGCCGCGUGCGGGAUGACGGCCUUCGGGUUGUAAACCGCUUUCGCCUGUGACGAAGCGUGAGUGACGGUAAUGGGUAAAGAAGCACCGGCUAACUACGUGCCAGCAGCCGCGGUGAUACGUAGGGUGCGAGCGUUGUCCGGAUUUAUUGGGCGUAAAGGGCUCGUAGGUGGUUGAUCGCGUCGGAAGUGUAAUCUUGGGGCUUAACCCCUGAGCGUGCUUUCGAUACGGGUUGACUUGAGGAAGGUAGGGGAGAAUGGAAUUCCUGGUGGAGCGGUGGAAUGCGCAGAUAUCAGGAGGAACACCAGUGGCGAAGGCGGUUCUCUGGGCCUUUCCUGACGCUGAGGAGCGAAAGCGUGGGGAGCGAACAGGCUUAGAUACCCUGGUAGUCCACGCUGUAAACGGUGGGUACUAGGUGUGGGGUCCAUUCCACGGGUUCCGUGCCGUAGCUAACGCUUUAAGUACCCCGCCUGGGGAGUACGGCCGCAAGGCUAAAACUCAAAGGAAUUGACGGGGCCCCGCACAAGCGGCGGAGCAUGCGGAUUAAUUCGAUGCAACGCGUAGAACCUUACCUGGGUUUGACAUGGAUCGGGAGUGCUCAGAGAUGGGUGUGCCUCUUUUGGGGUCGGUUCACAGGUGGUGCAUGGCUGUCGUCAGCUCGUGUCGUGAGAUGUUGGGUUAAGUCCCGCAACGAGCGCAACCCUUGUUCACUGUUGCCAGCACGUUAUGGUGGGGACUCAGUGGAGACCGCCGGGGUCAACUCGGAGGAAGGUGGGGAUGACGUCAAGUCAUCAUGCCCCUUAUGUCCAGGGCUUCACGCAUGCUACAAUGGCUGGUACAGAGAGUGGCGAGCCUGUGAGGGUGAGCGAAUCUCGGAAAGCCGGUCUCAGUUCGGAUUGGGGUCUGCAACUCGACCUCAUGAAGUCGGAGUCGCUAGUAAUCGCAGAUCAGCAACGCUGCGGUGAAUACGUUCCCGGG
rnacentral:rRNA from 1 species